AGGGCAGCGCAAUCCUAGGGCCGUUCCGCACCGCUCAGGAGGGACCCCAGAUUCACACCGCCCCAGUCAGCACAGUGUGGCCCACUGCUGCGACAUCAUCAAAAGUCCCGUCCUGCGCCCGGCAGCAGUAGCAGAAAAGGAGAUCACAGCGUUUUUCUCUGGAUGUCUGCAGAAGACGAGGGCCAGGCUCGCCUACAGUUAUCGCUGUGGUGAGGGAUGUGCAAGUGGGGAAAUCACCUUUUUUUAAACAGGUGAGUAAAUAAAUAGGUAAGUAGGAAUCCUCUGCCAUGAUCCCGUCAUCACCUUUCACUUCAGGCUGUGUCUGGAGCUAGAAACCCUGGCAGAGGGGAAACUGGGCAAAAAACCCAUUUUAAGUGAUCCUUUAUCUGUACUGCUCUUGUUUCAAAGCACAGAAGUCCAUACUCUGGGCAGGUUGGCAGGCUGUAGAUGGGGAAAUGACUGUGAGUUUCAGCUCUGCUCUUUCCAUUUUCUGGCCAGGUUAAAAAUCAUUAUUUGUGAAUCUGAACCACCUUUGACAAAUGUUUGCAAGCAAAAGGCAGAGAGAGAGAGAGAGGGAAAAAGGGAAAAUAAUGCAUCAAAAUUUUAAAAGUCUGUUUCUACACUGGCAAAAUGAAUACUUUGCCUUGGCAUGCUGAAAUGGUGUUUUACUUUGAUAUUGGCCUAAAUUUAACUUUUCAAAAGGUUUAAAGGGAUACAGAAACCUCCAACCUGAACCCUUUCACUUUAGUUUAAACCCAAGGUACUCUCUGACCUACCAGAUCGUUCUUGAUGCUUUUCUCAUUCCAUCUAGAAGGUAAGCAAAACUGAAUUUUUUCGAUCUGCUUAAGAUGAGCGGGGGCUUCCGCAGGGCUGAUCAGAGAACCAAACCCUCGCUUAUUCUCACCAUUCUGCUAGGGGAGGCUGGGUUUCAUUGCACCUAACUGUAGCCUUUUAAAAGUCAGGCACUUCAUUUGAAUUGCUUAAGCUAUGCCAAUAGUGGAUAGAAAGAAGGCGGCAUUUUCAGAGAGCACCUGGUCCAUGUUCAGACCGAGUGGAAGGAAGAAUGGCCUGUGGAAGUGCUUGUUUCUCUCCAUGGAGCACCAGGAGGGUUGCAAUGGCCGGCUGAGCACCGACUGCCAGCUCUUACCUGGCCGUGCCACGGAGGGAGCAACUCACAGGUUUUGCCUCUCUUCCUGGCUGAUGCCUUAAGUAGAAAUUGAAUCAUUAAUUUCUUUCAGAGGUUUUGUCUUAGGACAGGAGCAGGAGACGGCUAAAGGCCGGGAUUUGUCUUCCACAGGAAUAUUGUGCCUACGUGGAAUUAUCAGGCUUAUGCCUGCUAAGGGCUGAAGGGCUGGGUGCAGGUCCCAGUUAUCUCAGCUCAAUCUCCUGGAUCAGAAGAAUGCUACAAUAAGAAAAAUCAUAAAAAUCCUCUUAACCCUGAGUUUGACAUCAUUAGUGAUUUUCUAGUGAGUGAUGAAAGCGAAACAAAAGAAGAGAGAGAAAGGGCAUUAAUGUGAACUGGUGCAGGUUUCCCUUUAGCUACAGGUAAUCAAACAGACAGCUUCCUUGAAGGUAAUUACUGGAGCCAGCUGGAAAUGUUUACUUGAAAAAGCAUUCUGACUAAAACUCAAGGCUCUUACUCUAUUUUUUGUUUGAAAAAAAAAAAAAAAAAGCCUUAGUUUUUAUCAGACGUUGCCAGCAUCGGCGCAACUGCAGAUCUGCGGGGCAGACCACAAAGGGAAAAAAAGAGGUUUCAUUUAGACCAACAGUGGUAUCUGACUAACAGUUUUGGAAAACCUGCCUGAUUCCCAGCAUAGACGAGGUUGAAGUGGCGCAGAUAUGCUCAGAGGGGAGAGAACUGGCUGCAGCGGGGGACCCUGAGGAGCCCCAAAGGAAAGCAGUUCCUUGGCUGAGUGUGGCAAAGAUUCAUGCCUCAGCCCGGCAGAAAGGUACCCCACCAAAGAACGAUGAUACAUUUGCUGUCAGACAAGUGUUCUUUCAUCACUGCAUGUGAUUUAAAUUAAUCACUUUCUCACAUAUCCUGAGGCAAAUCUGUUCCCAACAUGGGAAUGGAGUCUUAAAUCAGGGACUACCUGCAACAACAGGCACCCUUCACUCACACAGGGAUUCAGGACAUACAGACAAGCAGUGGAGGAAAAAAAAGAGGGAAUUACAGGUGAGAAAUGCUGGUAGAGGUCACCAGGCUAUAUUAACCACUUCUGUCUGACAGUAAAAGUCAAGGUAUCGUCCUGAUUUUCAGAGGCACCACAGAGCCUGGCGUGAGGGGGUUUCCACCUCUUUUGGUGUUAAUGGAAACAAGUCCAUUGCACACAGCUGCCAAUUAAUAUCUGGAGGUGUAUCUUUUAUAGUAACUGGAAAAAUAUGACAGCUUGGAUUCAGAAGGGGAAACAUCUAAUUGUCACCUGAUGUAAUUCUUUCAUUUCCCAAACUUGCCCCCAUCGUGUAGACACUAUGGGAAAACUGGUUGAAAACAGCUGCAUUUUCCCUGUUCCUGGAAGGACAAACAUGACGGCAGACAUCAAGGGAGAUUCAUUAAAACCAUAAAGUUGCAUCUAACCUUGCAGUUUGGCCUACUCAGAGCCAGAGGUUGGACCAGACACCUCCAGUGGUUCCUUUCAACCUAAAAAAUUCAAUGAUUCCAAACAAAAAUGUGCUGCAGUAUAUGACUUAAAUGCAGCUGGAACCAAAUUGAGUCCAUCCAUGGAGCCAGGGCCUUCAUCACUAAAGCAGCUGAUCACCUCAGCAGCCUUCCUCUUCUAUCCUGCAUUUUUUUAAUUCUACUUUGGUGCUGAUGCUUAAGUGAGAUCAAAGGAGAGUGGGGAGCACCCAGCUUCUCAGAGAUGCAGUAUUUCCACUGCUUGCGGGCCCAGGCUGGCCUGUGGGUAGAGCAUGGACUGCAGAAGUAUUUUAUCAGGAAGCUGUUGAGAUGUAAAACUGUGGUUUGACGCCUGCCUGAGCCUGAGCCAAGCUAGAACCUCAUUCGGCAGCCCUUAGAUUUAAUAUUCUUUAGAAUUGCACAGAGAAAGGUUAUAUGUCUUUGUGGGGAACUUUUGGUAUUUCAAAAAACCUAAUGUUUAAGGAUUAAACAAAUGAGGGUUUGAUAUUCCUUCUGUGAGGAAAAGCAGCCCUGACUCUGGGCAACCCCCGAGCUAAAACACCUCAGCCAAGAGGCCCAGGCAUGACUGAAAUCAGCAGAUGGACUGCUCACAGGCGCUGAGGUCCAAGCAAUGAGAAGGUCCAAACAAUGAGAAGGUCCAAGCAGGCCGUUGCUGGGAGCUGUGAGAUGGUUGUGGAAGGCACUGGACCGGCUGACUAGCACUUUUCUAUUGCAACAAACAAUUGCAGACAUUUACCAAGGUGUUACUUUGGACGAGGUCCAGUACCAAAGCCCAGACUCAGUUUUAAUCAUGCAGCAUCAGUAAGAAAACUAUUAUUCAGCACUUCGUCCAAAUCUCUUCCUGGAUCAAACUUUGUGGGGAAGGUGAGGAGGAGUUUGGUCCUCUACACGUGGCAGUAAUUGUGGCAUAUUGACGUGGCUGACCACGCUGCAGCAAGCGAAUCUGAAAAAACUCCCUUUGUACUGCUCUUCCAGCAAGGCCCUUGAUAUUGUAAAUAUCUAGGUGAGAGCUAUCUCAUCAAUUUGAUACACUGCAUGUCUGAUCCGUUUGCUCUAUACAAAGUCUCUGAUCCUUGACCCUGAUUUCCUUUCAUCACUGCCUGCGCGUACAAGAUAGCAGCUAUCUCUUUUCAACAUUGGUCUGUUACACUCCCCAUAAAAGCUUUGCUUGCUAACAUCUUCAGAUGCUGAAAGGAGACCGGGAGAAACACCGACAACUUGCAAAUGCUCUCUGUAUUCUGCAAGAGCAAGACAGUCCUUUUCUUUCCGCAGGCUGCAGGAGUGCAGUGCUGGAAACAUCAUGUCAGAACAGGAGGCUUUCGUGGUAUGAGAAGUCUGAACUUCCACAAAAAAAGCUCUCGUCAUUACACGCUUGAGCAAAUCUGGGAAAAAGAAAAAACUCUGCAUGAAUAUUCUGGCAAGUACCAGAAGGACAAGAUUGAUGCUGCCUUCACCCUCCCUGGCUUCUCAUCACCCGUGUAAUUAACACUCACCACCCCAUGAUAGAUGGGAAAUUCAGUGCAAAUUUUGACUACUAAACAGGCAGGGUGGGUGAGUGCCCCCUCCUCCCCCAGACUGACCUACUUAAAGGUAUUCUCUGAUGACCUGGGUAAACAGGAGCUUCUUGUGUCAGAGACAGGAUAAUGAGGUAUGUAUCAACAAGCUUUAUCGAUCCCUACUGCCUGGGUAACCACAAAGCCCUGGUAAAAGCUUCAAAUCCCCUCUCCCAGCGUGCAGUGGAAUCAAGAUAAAACUCAAAAGGGAUUGUCUGCAGACAGCAUCUUCUUUGUUUAUUAAAGCUCUGAUCAGGAAUCUGCAAGAGUAUUUCAAAUGAAAGGAAACAGAGAUGUUCAAACCCUCCCAUGAGCUGCGCAUUAGGAGUGCAGUAAGAGGUGCGGGACAGGCUGUCAACUUAUGAACAAAGUCCUUGUCUUUAGUGCAGGAGGGGAAAUUUCAGGAAGAAGAAGGUUUGCCAGGUGGAACCGGCUCAGCAAGCGUGCAGCGGCCCAGAUGGCAGCACAGAGCUUCUGUGCAGGUCUUGGAUCCAAGCCAUGAAACACAGGGCUUCGGGGUGGCAGCGCUGACAGACAGCUUUGGCCAGCUUUCCCUUUCUAUGUUUUUCCAGCUGUGUAUUUUUCUGCAAACAUUUCAGACCAAUGCUAAGUUCUUAACAUAGCUUAAAGUUGGAAACCUAAAGGUGAGUUGGUCUUCGGCUCUUUUGAAGCGGACUGUAGGAAAGAACAACAAAAGCCAGUAUUUGGAAACUACAGCAAGAGAGACGAGAAAGAAGCCAUAACACAUCAGCAGUGCAAAUGAUCAGCCACUAAAACAAACAGUGGAAGAUUCUCCAUCUUUGGCAGUUUCAAAUGAAAAUGUGGCAAUUAUCUGGGAGAUGCUAGCCAAGCAUCUGUCAGGUGUCCACCGUUCGGCCCAAAAUAGAGCUAUCCAAGAGAUCAGAUUUCUCUCAAAGCCUAUGUUACCAUCACUACUUGGUUUCAGUCUGUCUGGGAACUUACGAGGUCUGCAAGCAAGAAUUUCUGAGCAAUUUUGAAGACACAAGAACACACGAAUAGGGAAUCGACUCACAGUUCUCCAGGCCCAGUUCCUCCAUAUGGGUUGUUCAUGUGGGGCCCAGACCUUUUCUACAGGCUGCGUCCUAGUGCCAUCACAACUGAAAAUGACAAAGCGUCAAGACUAAAUCAAGCUGUUAUUGCUCCUCCAAGACAUAUUUUUACCCUUGGAGUUGAAUUUUUGUGUAGCUGCAGCAAACCAUAUGAAACGUCUAACAGAUGUGAACUUAUCAGGGUUCCAGCAUCCUUCCUGGAAUAUGUCCCUUUGUACAAAUUACAAAAUGCUCCAUCUGUGCUAACUGGAUUGAAAUGUCAGCCCCACGGUUGGGGUAAGCCUUGCAGAAUUUCUGUUUAACAAUUUUGCAAGUAUAUUAGAUUAGCAAUUAUCCUGUUCGGGUUUUAAAUUCUAAUUUCACCUUUUUUCUUACUGCUGCAGGAUGCAAUAUUCAUGUACUGUUAAAUCAAAUACUCCAUUAACAGCACCAGAGAUAAAUAUUGAAUUAAUGGAAUAAUGCAGGUUAAUAGUAGAUUCAUAGGAUAACGCUGGAGAAUACCGUGUAUGAAUUAUGCCAGCAGCUGAAUCACUGACCCUUGCUGUGCUCUGACUGCAGGUGCAAUAAAAAUAGCCAAAAAUGCUACGCUAUCUGAGAUUUAAAUAUUUACUGGGAGUAGGUGAUAGGUCAUGGAUGUGGACAGAUGCUUAGAGGAAGCUAGGACAAGCCAUAAGCACUGAAUUUUUCAGGCUCUCCCUUCCUGCUGAGAAGUAACAGAAUCCACUGCUGGCUGCUGCUGAAUAGAUGCUCAUUUUCUACCCCAGAAUCCUCCGUUUCCUUCAGCCCUGCCCGGGCCGGGGCACUUGGUUCGUAUUUCCUCACAAAGGCAUCUCAUUAAGGCUGCGUGAACCUCUGCAGAGCAGCGGCCAAUCAAUCAAACCAUCUUUUUAGCCAAAAAAAAUAACAACCCACAAACCCCCUUCGGCAGUGGCCUGAGGCAGAGACCCGCCGCAGCCCGGCGCAGCCCUGCGGUUGCCGCCUGCAGCGGAGCUCUCGGCGGGUCCCGACCCGCGCUAACGGGGGCCGGGGGAGGCUGCUCCGCGGGCCCUGAGCCUGACCGACGUGCCAGACUGAUUUAAUGUCCUGCUCCGACCGGCCAGCCCUCCCCAGCCCAUCCACGACCUGGGGCUGAGCGGCUGGACGGACACAGCCCACCUCUGAUGUGCUGCCUUCCUGACCGGGCAGCACCAGAAGCGGUGCAAGGGACUGUCCCCUCCUGCCCGUGAUGAAGCCUGAGCAGGCAGAAUCCACCACCGAAUGAGUGGGAAGGGCAAACAGCCGACCAAGAUGUGCUUUUAAACUGUCCCCAUGGCUCUGUCCUUAAUUUUCCUUUUUGACAAGUCUGUCUAGUGAGUUGCUAUAUUUUUAUGCUUGGCUUCAUGAAUAUUUCAAGUAGGAAACUCAUCCUGAAUUUGUUUCUUUUUUGUCUUUUCUUCCAGGAAAUGUAUGUGUGCAAACUCCCCCUAAUUUAUGUAAAUACGGAGGCGGAAGAGUUUCACUUCAUUGUUACAAAUUAAAAGUUCCCUGACAUUUCCAAUUAGCUGGAGAGAAAAGCAACACAACUAUAAAUAUAUCACAAAGCCAGCAAGUCUGCUCUGGCAUAAACAGCACGCUCCCAUCGCGACACCGAACGGCGAGGCUCCAAGGUGUGCUUGUUGGAGCGGAGAUUAAUGGCCUGGUGGCCCAUUGCCCUGGGAAGAGAUCCGCCGGGGGAGGCUGAAGCCUCCUGUCAAGGUUCUGCAGGGCUCGAUCAUCACUGUGUCAGGCAUAAAUCGCAGGGUUUGAGUCGUGCCAGGAAAUUUUAUUCCCUGAUGGACAGCCUGGAAGAUGAUGCUACUCCCCUUGCAGAAUGAUUGCAAGCCUCCUGAGGAGGAGAAAUUAAAAUGGUGCGUCCAGUCCUGAUGUUGAAGAGCCGCAUUCAGCAGUAUCGGGUACAAGUUGCUGUAGAGAGGGGACCAAAACCACUGUGCUCCCACCUGCAGAAAUUGCUGCUGCUGUCCUCGGUGUCUGGGAAGAGGCACAAGUGGUACGUGGAAGGUGGACAGGGCGUUUGCUUCCCCUGUGGCCCCCAGUGCCUCGUCAUUGAACCUCAUAUGGCAGCACCAAGAAGUGACUGUCUCUAAAACACCACAGCAGCUUCGCCAGUGAAGAGCAAACACCCUGAGCUCCGUCCUCAUCCGGGCAUGGGAAAUGAAGGCAAGAGGCACAAGAAGCAACCUGAGAACAGUAGAUCGGGGGAAAAUGAGUGAUGUGAAUCCCAGGCCCCCGAGUCCCACUCUGUGUCUCAAAGGGCUUUGCCAUCUCUGCCUCUUUCAUUUAUUACCAGCACAUUGUGCUUCUGCAAGAGCAUCCUAUUUCAGAAGAAUCACCCCUCUGAAGACCUCUCUUUUGGGACCUCCCAGGCCCACUGUCCAUCCUAAUUCAGAAGUUAUAGUCUGGCAGGCCAUGCUUUCCAUGGGCUUGUUCAAAGCAAAGAAAGCAGGAGCGCUGGCACGGUUGUAUGCCCAGGAGAACGCGAAGUCUAAGGUUUAUUUAGGACACCUGUGCCUUGUGUCCUGUGCACCUGAGAGGGGGGCAAUGCCCAAUUUAUAUGGUCAAACUUACCUUACUUGCAAUAUUCCACUCUCCAUCGCAGUUUACAUGGAGCCGCUCUGUAAGAGGGAUGGAAACUGUCACCUUGUCAGGACAUUUUUUUCUGCCCUCUUGUAACAAAAGAGCUUUUG